AGCCUGAAGGUGGUGCUAAUGCACUCAAUAUUAACAGUUUAAGACUACUACUUCAUAAAGUAGCAGCCACAGACCAUCACAAAGGGGAAACCCAAUCAGAACAGUCUGAUGCUCGAAGACUCAGCACAUCUCAAGCUUUUGUGGAAAAACUAUUGGAAGAGAGUCUUGCAAAGCUUCAGGAAGAGGUUUCUGGUGGUGCGGUAGCUGGCGUGGUGGUGUAGUACCUCGGCAUUGGCAGUGGCUCGGACUAUUAUUAGAUUGAAGUUGUUGUAUUAGAUUUUAGUUACAAUGUAAUUAUACUAUUAUAGUACUAAAUUUUGGUAUUAGAUUGUAAUUAUAUAUAUUUAAUUUAAAUAAAAUUCUCAUUUGUUUAA